rnacentral:rRNA from 1 species
GAGCCCUGCGCGUGUGUGAGAGGCCUUCGGAUUGUAAAGUCUUUUGUCAGGGAGGAAGGGUACUAAGUUAAUACCUUUGUACCUUGACGGUACCCCCAGAAAAAGCCCCGGCUAACUCCGUGCCAGCAGCCGCGGUAAUAA